AUGAAGACUACAGGUAACAGAUUUGUAGGAAUUGUUCAAGCUAAACAGAAACUUCAAAGAACACUUUCACAAAGAAUUAGAAUGGCUUCAGCUUUUGGUGAUGUACCAAAAGGACAUUUAGCAGUUUAUGUGGGAAAUGACCAUAAAAGGUUUGUAAUUCCAAUAUCAUUUUUGAGUCAUCCUUUGUUUAGAGAUUUGUUAGAUUGGGCUGAAGAAGAAUUCGGAUUUAAUCAUCCAAUGGGUGGUCUCACAAUUCCUUGCACCGAAGAUUAUUUUAUUAGUCUAACUUCUUCUCUUAAUUAG